rnacentral:rRNA from 1 species
UACGUAGGGUCCGAGCGUUAAUCGGAAUUACUGGGCGUAAAGCGUGCGCAGGCGGUUUUGUAAGCCAGAUGUGAAAUCCCCGGGCUCAACCUGGGAACUGCAUUUGGGACUGCAAGGCUGGAGUACGGCAGAGGGAGGUGGAAUUCCACGUGUAGCAGUGAAAUGCGUAGAGAUGUGGAGGAACACCGAUGGCGAAGGCCGCCCCCUGGGCCAAUACUGACGCUCAUGCACGAAAGCGUGGGGAGCAAACAGG